AGGACCACCGAGGAGGACGCUGGAGCGAGAAGGGGCUAAGGAGGAGGACUGCAGAGGAGGAAAGAGAUGAAAGAGAAAGGAGACAUCUGAGCAUCACCCCGGAAGUCCAGAACUACAGACUUGUGAAGGCUGGCGAGUGAGCAUUUUUGUCAGCGUUUCUCUGGCCUUGGUGUCUGCAGUUUUGCAGGAGGACAAGAUUGAUGAGGUGAAUGUCAGGGUGCUUAGCCUUGCACUGCAGACUCCCAGAGGAAUGUCCAUGUGCAGAACUGAGCAAGAAUCUGCCCCGAAUUUGAAAGAUAAUAAGGGAAAUCAAAAACAUUGA